ensembl:lncRNA novel transcript
AGUCGGUGACCCUCCUGCCCAUGCCUGGGAGGAUGUGAGCUCUGGUGCCCCAGGCAGCCUGGAAUUGUGCCCUGGGAGUGGGGCUGGGGCAAGGGAGAGGCUGCAGUGUCAUUACAGGGAUGUCCUCCUUUCCUGGAGGUCACUUUGGGCUUGACCACGGGCUGUCCACUGCCUGGCGUGGUCUCUGAUUUGCUGCUCUCUGCGGACCCUUGGUUGUGCUCUUUCGGGCUUAUCUAACCUUACUCAUGCAAAGACCCGAAGCUCUGGCAUUCCCCAUAUCUGACCUGGGAUCCCUAGUCUUUCUCAUUAUCUGUGCUACCCCCUCCCAGAGUGUCCCGGGGAGAAUCACCGCAUCCACUUCCUGAGAUUACCUGGCACUUGUCCAGUCUUUCUGCAGUCAACAUCGCCCAGAUUCCAUGCAGAACCCUUUGCAGACUCCUGAGGAGGUACAGACAAGGAGUGUCCCUGUCCUCAUGGUGCUACAUGAAAAGGGAUCAGGACAGCAUAGUGUGUCCUCUGUCUUGAGAAGUUCGCAUCCAGCUCUGCCAUGGACCAGCCAUGCUCAUGGAUUGCCUCUCAUUUUGCUACGGACAGGAGACAGGAAAAUACUGGGUAGAAGAGGGCGGUUCCCGACAAAGGCCCCAACCUCAAGCCUGAAGACCCACGACCCUAAAUGAGGACAGCCAUUUCUGAUUUUGUGCCCAAAAAUUUGCCUUUUGGCCUGCCACACCCAACAUCUUGCCCCUAUAUAAACCCGAGACCUUAGCGGGCACACACACAAUCAGCCAAAUGUUGGGAUUAGCAGACCAGUGGACCAGCGGACCAGCAGACCAGUUAACGGUGGAACAACGCAGCAGAGAAAGAGAGAAGAGGAGGGAUGUCUGAAUGCCAAGGGGAAUUCGGCCGCGGGCAGUUAGAAAAGUCUGGCUGCUGGGCGGCCCGACUCUAGGGGAAGACCACCUUCCCACUCCAUCCCCUGUUCUGGCUCCCCAUCCAUCUCCCUGAGAGCCACCUCUACCACUCAAUAAAACCUUUCAUUCAU